AUUAGGGUUGGAAUGAAAAUCCACAGGACUGUAGAUCUCCGGGAAUAGCGUUGGGCAGCCCUGACAUAGACUGACCAGGUGAAAGCUAUGAUCCCUUAUUGAUGUCACUUUGUAAAUCCACUUCAAUCAGUGUAACUGAAGGGAGGAGACAGGUUAAAGAAGGAUUUUUAAGCCUUGAGGCAUGGAUUGUGUUUCUGCGACAUUCAGAGGAUGUCCAGGCACGCUUUCCCUCUCGGAGGGUCGAUUCUAUUUGCCAACCUGUUUCAUCAAGGGUGACUCUCUGCAGACGCGGUCUCAGCCUCUUGAUCUUCUACAUCAUCUACAUGAUAGGAAUGAUCCUGGUGUUUGGUGUGGCCCCUUUGGUGGUUAGUCUGUUCAGUGUGUUCAGUCUAAUCAAGCAGCUGAGGAAGUUCUGGAGGCAGUUCCUAAAGUUCAUCAAUAGGAGGAAGAGGAGAAAGGGCAUGUGGUUGCCUCUACCAAACGACCAGCUCCCAAGUACAGCCAAGGUGCACAGACGUCGAGGUCAGAGGUGCCCUAGCAUCUACAGUGGCCCCAUCUCUGUGCUGCACCUGAACCAGACAGAGGACCAAGACACUAAGGAAGAGGCUAGACCAGGACACACAGCUGGAACAAAGACACAUUCACAGACCAAGACACAGCAAGCGACUGGACAGGAAGGGUCUGACAAGGAUGUGAACCAGAAUGGACAUGGAGAUGUCUCUACCUCGAGGAACCCAAAAGCCAGUCUGAAAAGAGACACCAUUCCACAGACAACCAGCCAUCCAAGCAGAAGCAAGAACAGAUGCAGCCGCAGGAACCAAUGAAGUGCAAACAACCACCGCCUGUGCUUCCAUCAAAGGGAUAUUUAUUGCUAUCUUUUUAUUUAAAAGAAACUCAUGCAGUUUACUGCAAACAAACUCUUUCUCUUUGUGAUCCUUUUUAUAUGAACAUAUUUAAAAAAUUAUUCAGAAAUAUCACAUGUAUUGUUAUCAAAUUAAGUAAAUAAAAAUCACAAAAAUAAUACAUUGUUAAAGAUGCUGUCAAAACAGAAUACAUUUUCAAACAUCUUGACACUACACAUUUACAACAAGUUCUCUCCCUGGACAUGUACAUCACGCUCAUACUGCAUGUCAUCC
ensembl:lncRNA